rnacentral:rRNA from 1 species
GAGAGCAGAGAAGGAAAAUAGAACAACUUUGAGCGGUGGAUCACUCGGCUCGUGCGUCGAUGAAGAGCGCAGCCAGCUGC